UCAAGAGUUGACCUCGAAUCAGGUAGGAAUACCCGCUGAACUUAAGCAUAUCAAUAAGCGGAGGAAAAGAAACCAACAGGGAUUGCCCCAGUAACGGCGAGUGAAGCGGCAACAGCUCAAAUUUGAAAUCUGGCCCCCCGGGGCCCGAGUUGUAAUUUGUAGAGGAUGCUUCUGGCGAGGUGCCUUCCGAGUUCCCUGGAACGGGACGCCAUAGAGGGUGAGAGCCCCGUCUGGCUGGACGCCGAGCCUCUGUGAAGCUCCUUCGACGAGUCGAGUAGUUUGGGAAUGCUGCUCUAAAUGGGAGGUAUAUGUCUUCUAAAGCUAAAUACCGGCCAGAGACCGAUAGCGCACAAGUAGAGUGAUCGAAAGAUGAAAAGCACUUUGAAAAGAGGGUUAAACAGUACGUGAAAUUGUUGAAAGGGAAGCGCUCGUGACCAGACGUGGGCCUCGGCGGAUCAUCCAGCGGUCUCCCGCUGGUGCACUCCGCCGGGCCCAGGCCAGCAUCAGUUUGCCCUGGGGGAUAAAGGCUCCGGGAACGUGGCUCCUCCGGGAGUGUUAUAGCCCGCCGCGCAAUACCCUGGGGCGGACUGAGGUUCGCGCAUCUUUUGCUAGGAUGCUGGCGUAAUGGUUAUCAGCGGCCCGUCUUGAAACACGGACCAAGGAGUCGUCUUCGUAUGCGAGUGUUCGGGUGUCAAACCCCUACGCGGAAUGAAAGUGAACGCAGGUGAGAGCCCUCUGGGCGCAUCAUCGACCGAUCCUGAUGUUCUCGGAUGGAUUUGAGUAAGAGAGCAUACGGGGCCGGACCCGAAAGAAGGUGAACUAUGCCUGUAUAGGGUGAAGCCAGAGGAAACUCUGGUGGAGGCUCGCAGCGGUUCUGACGUGCAAAUCGAUCGUCAAAUAUGGGCAUGGGGGCGAAAGACUAAUCGAACCUUCUAGUAGCUGGUUUCCGCCGAAGUUUCCCUCAGGAUAGCAGUGUUGAUCUCAGUUUUAUGAGGU
rnacentral:rRNA from 1 species